rnacentral:rRNA from 1 species
AGUUGGAAUUGCUAGUAAUCGCGGAUCAGCAUGCCGCGGUGAAUACGUUCCCGGGCCUUGUACACACCGCCCGUCACACCAUGAGAGUCGGGAACACCCGAAGUCCGUAGUCUAACCGCAAGGAGGGCGCGGCCGAAGGUGGGUUCGAUAAUUGGGGUGAAGUCGUAACAAGGUACC